CCUCCCAGCAGUGGGUAAAGAGGCCCCUUAUUGUUGGUGUUGUUCUUAUAUCAGUCAGGAACAGAGCAAUCAGCAGUCCUUUCUUCAUCCUAGCUUGAUGCCUGGCUUGGUAACCAAAGCUGUUUUAUGCUUAGGACAUUUUA